rnacentral:tRNA from 1 species
GCUAGCGUAGCUUAAAUAAAGCAUAAC